rnacentral:rRNA from 1 species
CCUGGUUGAUCUUGCCAGUAGUCAUAUGCUUGUCUCAAAGAUUAAGCCAUGCAUGUGUAAGUAUGAACUAAUUUAGACUGUGAAAUUGUGAAUGGCUCAUUAAAUCAGUUAUAGUUUGUUUGAUGGUAUCUACUACUCGAAUAACCAUAGUAAUUCUAGAGUUAAUACGUGCAACAAACCCUGACUUCUGGAAGGGAUGCAUUUAUUAGAUAAAAGGUCGACGCGGGCUAUGCCCGUUGCUCUGAUGAUUCAUGAUAACUCGACGGAUCACACGGCCUUUGUGCCCGCGACGCAACAUUCAAAUUUCUACCCUAUCAACUUUCGAUGGUAGAAUAGUAGCCUACUAUGGUGGUGACGGGUGAUGGAGAAUUAGGGUUCGAUUCCGAGAGGGAGCCUGAGAAACGGCUACCACAUCCAAGGAAGGUAGCAGGCGUGCAAAUUACCCAAUCCUGACACGGGGACGUAGUGACAAUAGAUAACAAUAUUGAGCUCUCUAAGUCUGGUAAUUGGAAUAAGUUCAAUCUAAAUCCCUUAACAAGGAUCCAUUAGAGGGCAAGUCUGGUGCCAGCAGUCGCGGUAAUUCUAGCUCCAAUAGCGUAUAUUUAAGUUGUUGCAGUUAAAAAGCUUGUACUUGGAACUAGGGUUGGAUCGUCCGAUCCGCCUCACGGUGAGCACCGAUCUACUAGUCCCUACUGCCAGGAUGCGCUCUUUGACUUAAUUGCCCAAGUCGUUCCUCCGGUGCUGUUACUUUGAAGAAAUUAGAGUGCUCAAAGCAGGCCUAUGCUUGUAUACAUUAGCAUGGGAUAACAUCAUAGGAUUUUAGUCCUAUUGUGCUGGCCUUUGGGAUCGGAGUAAUUAUUAACAGGGACAGUCGGGGGCAUUCGUAUUUCAUAGUCAGAGGUGAAAUUGUUAGAUUUAUGAAAGAUGAACAAUUGCGAAAGCAGUUGCCAAGGAUGUUUUCAUUAAUCAAGAACAAAAGUUAGGGGCUCGAAGACGAUCAGAUACUGUCCUAGUCUCAACCAUAAAUGAUGCUGACUAGGGAUCGGUGGAUGUUAGUUUUAGGACUCCGUCGACACCUUAUGAGAAAUCAAAGUCUUUGGGUUCCGGGGGGAGUAUGGUCGCAAGGAGAAAACUUAAAGGAAUUGACGGAAGGGCACCACCAGGAGUGGAGCUUGCGACUUAAUUUGACUCAACACGGGGAAACUUACCAGGUCCAGACAUAGUAAGGAUUGAUAGACUGAGAACUCUUUCUUGAUUCUAUGGGUGGUGGUGCAUGUCCGUUCUUAGUUGGUGGAGCAAUUUGUCUGGUUAAUUCCGUUAACGAAUGAGUCCUCAGCCUGCUAACUAGCUACGUGGAGGUGAUCCUUCGUGGCUAGCUUCUUAGAGGGACUAUGGCCGCUUAGGCCAAGGAAGUUUGAGGUAAUAGCAGGUCUGUGAUGCCCUUAGAUGUUUUGGGCCAUACGCGUGCUACACUGAUGUAUUCAAUGAGUCUAUAGCCUUGGCCGACAGGCCCGGGUAAUCUUUGAAAUUUCAUCAUGAUAGGGAUAGAUCAUUGCAAUUGUUGGUCUUCAACGAGGAAUUCCUAGUAAGCAUGAGUCAUCAACUCACGUUGACUACGUCCCUGCCCUUUGUACACAUUGCCCAUCUCUCCUACCGAUUGAAUGGUCUAGUGAAGUGUUCAGAUCGUGACGACAUGGACAGUCCGUCACCCACGACGUUGCGAGAAGUCCAUUGAACCUUAUCAUUUAGAGGAAAGAGAAGUCGUAACAAGGUUUCCGUAGGUGAACCUGCGGAAG